CACGUAGGGGGCAAGCGUUGUCCGGAUUCAUUGGGCGUAAAGAGUGUGUAGGCGGUGUUCUAAGUCUGUUGUGAAAUCUCCCGGCUUAACUGGGAGGGUGCGGCGGAAACUGGAAUGCUAGAGGAUGGGAGAGGUAAGCGGAAUUCCUGGUGUAGCGGUGAAAUGCGUAGAUAUCAGGAGGAACACCUGUGGUGUAGACAGCUUACUGGACCAUUUCUGACGCUGAGACACGAAAGCGUGGGUAGCAAACAGG
rnacentral:rRNA from 1 species